rnacentral:tRNA from 1 species
CAAAGGGUAGUUUAAUAACAAAAUAUUAGUUUUGGAAAUUAAUGAUAAGAAUUUCUUUCCUUUGA